GCACUUCCGUGCGCGAGGAGGGAAGAUCGUGGCUGAGUGCGGGUGGCCUGGGCGGAAGGCUCAGCGGGGACAGGUUGGGCCGCAGCUUUGCUGUGCUGUGCCGUGCGACGCCCUCCGCAGGAGCGCGCAAAGUGUUAGCCACGGCGCCAAGCAAGCUGGACGUGCGUGCAUGAGCGCGCUCGGACUGACAGGGAAGCGAAAAGGGGGCCAGGGCGCACCAUAGAAAAGCCGCGGCAGAAACGUACGACACAGCCCGAGGCGGCGGGGGCGAGAGCUCCGG
rnacentral:lncRNA from 1 species